rnacentral:rRNA from 2 species
CUAAACGACUCUCGGCAACGGAUAUCUCGGCUCUCGCAUCGAUGAAGAACGUAGCGAAAUGCGAUACUUGGUGUGAAUUGCAGAAUCCCGUGAACCAUCGAGUCUUUGAACGCAAGUUGCGCCCGAAGCCUUCUGGCUGAGGGCACGCCUGCCUGGGCGUCACGCA